rnacentral:rRNA from 1 species
UACAGAGGUGGCAAGCGUUGUUCGGAAUUACUGGGCGUAAAGGGCGCGUAGGCGGCUUGGUCAGUCCCGUGUGAAAUCCCUCGGCUCAACCGGGGAACUGCGUCUGAUACUGGCGGGCCUGAAUUCGGGAGAGGGAUGUGGAAUUCCAGGUGUAGCGGUGAAAUGCGUAGAUAUCAAGUGGAACACCAGUGGCGAAGGCGAAUCCCUGGAAAAUACCUGACACUGAGGCACGAAAGCUAGGGGAGCAAACAGG